rnacentral:rRNA from 1 species
UACGUAGGGUGCAAGCGUUAAUCGGAAUUACUGGGCGUAAAGCGUGCGCAGGCGGUGAUGUAAGACAGAUGUGAAAUCCCCGGGCUCAACCUGGGAACUGCAUUUGUGACUGCAUCGCUGGAGUGCGGCAGAGGGGGAUGGAAUUCCGCGUGUAGCAGUGAAAUGCGUAGAGAUGUGGAGGAAUACCGAUGGCGAAGGCAGCCCCCUGGGUCAAUACUGACGCUCAUGCACGAAAGCGUGGGGAGCAAACAGG